rnacentral:rRNA from 1 species
UAGGGAAUCUUCCACAAUGGCGCAAGCCUGAUGGAGCAACACCGCGUGAGUGAAGAAGGGUUUCGGCUCGUAAAGCUCUGUUGUUGGAGAAGAACGUGCGUGAGAGUAACUGUUCACGCAGUGACGGUAUCCAACCAGAAAGUCACGGCUAACUACGUGCC